GACGAGUCGAGAAGUGGAGUCCGAGGUCAUCGAAGAUGUUUGCAGUGACUGUAAAGAAGCCUUUGUGCGGCAUGGCCAAGGUUACCACCGGAAAAGCUGCCAUUUGUUAUUUCCUGAACAUGAUGGCUUUUAUUGUAUUCGCUGUUUCAAUAUGUUAAAACGAGCAAGCAACUCUAGAAAACUAAGUUUCGAGCGUGCAUUAAAUCAUGCAUGAAUGAUGAUGUAGUGUUUGGAAAGAAGAUUACAGCGUCAUCAAGCAAAUCCAAAUCGCAAGCUCAGAAGAAAAAGAAGGGGAAGAAGGAUUUGAAGAUACUCAAAAUCAAAUAUGAUACUAAGAGGACAGGAGGUGUUACAGUUGCUGAAGGAUGUGAAUAAGACGUGUGAAUGUCCACCGGUGGUGUCCCGUGCCCAGGCAUGCCCCACCCAGAGGGGAGAGGCAGGCAGGAGGAAGCCCAACCCAAGGCUACCUGUACAACAAGACGGGAUUAGAGAGGUGUUGAGGAUAGAAGACAACAUGCUGGAGGAACAGAUGGAGUUUGCUGUACAAGACCACUGACCUUUUCAGAAUUUGGCAUAGAGAGGACAGUGGCUGUUUCUGGAUGUCGAAGAUGUGUGAAUCCCGGAAGGCCUGAAUGUUUUUCUGGGUUCAGCCUACAGAAGUCCUUGAG